CCAGAAGUGGGGGAUAACGUAUCGAAAGUUACGCUAAUACCGCAUACGUUCUACGGAAGAAAGUGGGGGACCUUCGGGCCUCAUGCUUUUGGAGCGGCCGAUGUCUGAUUAGCUAGUUGGUGAGGUAAAGGCUCACCAAGGCGACGAUCAGUAGCUGGUCUGAGAGGACGACCAGCCACACUGGGACUGAGACACGGCCCAGACUCCUACGGGAGGCAGCAGUGGGGAAUUUUGGACAAUGGGCGCAAGCCUGAUCCAGCAAUGCCGCGUGAGUGAAGAAGGCCUUCGGGUUGUAAAGCUCUUUUGUCAGGGAAGAAACGGCCGAGGUUAAUACCUUUGGCUAAUGACGGUACCUGAAGAAUAAGCACCGGCUAACUACGUGCCAGCAGCCGCGGUAAUACGUAGGGUGCAAGCGUUAAUCGGAAUUACUGGGCGUAAAGCGUGCGCAGGCGGUUUUGUAAGUCUGACGUGAAAUCCCCGGGCUCAACCUGGGAAUUGCGUUGGAGACUGCAAGGCUGG
rnacentral:rRNA from 1 species